AUGAAAUCUCUUCAAUGGACAUAUUUUUCAACUCUUUGGCCGUAAUCGGAACAGGAUAGAAUUCUUCCCUAAUUAUAUUCCUCGGACAAUGUUGAGUUCCGUUCUAUGUUGAAAUACGCGAAUGGAACCGAUGCAACCUGUUUAAUAAUUUACAAUAUAAAUGGCUUGGUUGUACCAUUGAUUUAAUACACGAUUAUUGAUAUAACGUUGUGGUGGUGAUGGACGGUAUUACGACGACGGUGAAGAUCAACUGUGGAGAGGAGAGUGACCUUUUCCUGUCACGCCAUUAUCGCGGCUGUCACUUUUUCUCGUGCACUAUCAACCAAUAGUUGAGUGCAUCAAAUCGAAAAGGCUAUAAUGCAAGCAGAAUUAUACUGAAAAAAAAUCGUUUUGUAUGAAGUACCUACGGCGCAAGAUAUUUCAAUAAUAGGUAUUACCUUGUAUAUUUUGCUGACCUUGUUGGUUGUGACUUGUGAGAAAAAAAAACUUAAAAAGGAGGCUUUCGUCAACAACCAAAAUAUUUUGCAAUAUUCAAAUGGUGAAGCUAAAUAGAUAAACAUUUAUGCAGGCUUUUUUGACAAAAUAAAAUUUUUAUACAUUGA